CUACGCGCAGGCGCAUUGUCAUUCAUGUUCAUUCUCAGCGCCUUGGGCGGAUUCGCUCAUGGGGCGGCCUAUCCGCUGCGCGACACAGCCAUCGAUGAAUCCAAGGCGAGGUCCGGCAAUGUUUCAGAGCCGUUCGGGCUUCCAACCUCGAUGCUGGCCGACGGCCCUCUUCGCGCCAAAUGGGAGGCCGUCGAGCGCGCCAUCACGGCUGAAUCCGGGAUCAUCGCCGCUUGCGCCAACGACCCCGGACAUUGCGCAUCCCAGCCU
rnacentral:misc_RNA from 1 species